UGUCCCCAGGUCGGACUGCCUUUCUGUCGACGACCCUAAGUGUCUUGACACCCCCCUCAACUUUUUCUUCAUUAACUUCUGCAACAUUCUCGGUCUAAGAUCUAAUUUUCAUUCUGUAGAACACCACCUCUCCUCUUUUAAACCUCAUCUUCUUUUCCUCACUGAAACUCAGGUGUCUGAGGCAACUGACAGUAGCCCCUUUUCUGUUCCCUCCUACUUUCUCUAUCCUCAUUUUCGAUCCAAAGCUGGAUGCUGCGUUUAUGUACGCAAUGACUUAACCUGCUCUCAUGCCCACGCUCUUGAAUCUCCCGAGUUUUCCACCAUCUGGCUACGACUACAGAGUCACUCUCAUACUAAAUUUAUCUGUGCUGUAUACCUCUCACCUAACUCCUCUGAUUAUAAGAAAUUCUUUGACUACUUAACUUCCAAAGUGGAGCACAUGUUCACCACCAGCUUUGGCUUUCCUCUCUCUUCAUUGACCAUCCUGGUGAACUAGCCUACAACUUUGCUAUCCUCCAUGACCUAGAGCAAUUGGUGCAACACCCUACUCGUAUUCCUGACCGUCUUGGAGAUACGCCCAACAUUCUUGACCUUUUCCUGACCUCUAAUCCUUCUGCUUAUGCUGUCACCCUUUCUUCUCCGUUGGGCUCCUCCGAUCACAAUCUCAUAUCUUUAUCUUGUCCUAUCGCUCCAAUCCCUCCUCAGGAUCCCCCUAAGCGAAGGUGCCUCUGGCGUUUUGCUUCUGCUAGUUGUGGGGACCUGAGGAGGUAUUUUGCUUAUUUUCCUUGGAAUGACUAUUGCUUCCGUGUCAGAGACCCGUCUUUGUGUGCUGAGCGCAUAACAGAGGUGAUAGUGUCUGGCAUGGAGGCGUACAUUCCUCACUCUUUUUCUCGUCCUAAACCUUCUAAACCUUGGUUUAACAUAGCUUGUUCUCAUGCUAUACAUGAUAGAGAGGUGGCCCACAAAAGGUACUUAAGCCUUCCAUCACCAGAAUCUCAUGCACUUUAUAUUUCUGCCUGGAACCAUGCCAAGUCUGUUCUCCAACUAGCCAAAAACUCCUUCAUAAACAGAAAAUGUAAAAAUCUUUCAAGAUCUAACUCCCUUCGUGAUUUCUGGCAUCUAGCCAAAAAUAUCUCCAAUAACUUUGCUUCUUCUUCUUUCCCUCCUCUAUUUCAACCAGAUGGCACCACUGCUAUCACAUCUAUUUCUAAAGCUGAACUCAUAGCUCAAACCUUUGCUAAAAACCCUACCUUGGAUGAUUCUGGGCUUGUUCCUCCCUCUCCUCCACCCUCUGACUACUUCAUGCCACGUAUUAAAAUUCUUCGCAAUGAUGAUUUCCAUGCCCUCGCUGGCCUAAACCCUCGGAAGGCUUAUGGUCCUGAUGGGGUCCCUCCUAUUGUUCUCCGAAACUGUGCCUCCGUGCUUGCACCUUGCCUAGUCAAACUCUUUCAGCUCUGUCUGUCAACAUCUAUCUUUCCUUCUUGCUUGAAGUUUGCCUACAUUCAGCCUGUUCCUAAAAAGGGUGACCGUUCUAAUCCCUCAAACUACCGUCCUAUUGCUUUAGUUUCCUGCCUAUCUAAAGUUUUUGAAUCUAUCCUUAACAGGAAGAUUCUUAAACAUCCAUCACUUCACAACCUUCUAUCUGAUCGCCAGUAUGGGUUCCGUCAAGGCCGCUCUAUUGGUGAUCUUCUGGCUUUCCUUACUGAGUCUUGGUCAUCCUCUUUUAGAGAUUUUGGUGAAACUUUUGCUGUUGCCUUGGACAUAUCAAAAGCUUUUGAUAGAGUCUGGCACAAAGCUUUGAUUUCCAAACUACCCUCCUACGGUUUCUAUCCUUCUCUCUGUAACUUCAUCUCAAGUUUCCUUUCUGACCGUUCUAUUGCUGCUGUGGUAGACGAUCACUGUUCUUCUCCUAAAUCUAUUAACAGUGGUGUUCCUCAGGGUUCUGUCCUGUCACCCACUCUCUUCUUAUUAUUCAUUAAUGAUCUUCUAAACCAAACUUCUUGUCCUAUCCCCUCCUACGCUGAUGAUACCACCCUGCACUUUUCCACGUCUUUUCAUAGACGUCCAACCCUUCAGGAGGUAAACAUAUCACACAGGGAAGCCACAGAACGCUUGACUUCUGAUCUUUCUAAAAUUUCUGAUUGGGGCAGAACAAACUUGGUAUUGUUCAAUGCCUCAAAAACUCAAUUCUUCCAUCUAUCAACUCGACACAACCUUCUAGACAACUAUCCCCUCUUCUUCAAUGACACUCAACUGUCCCCCUCUUCUAUACUGAAUAUCCUCGGUCUGUCCUUUACUUAUAAUCUGAGGUGGAAACUUCACAUCUCAUCUCUAGCUAAAACAGCUUCUAUGAAGUUAGGUGUUCUGAAACGUCUCUGCCAGUUUUUCUCACCCCCCCCCCCAGCUGCUAACUCUGUACAAGGGCCUUAUCCGUCCAUGUAUGGAGUAUGCUUCACAUGUCUGGGGAGGUUCCACUCAUACUGCUCUUCUAGACAGGGUGGAAUCAAAAGCUUUUCGUCUCAUCAACUCCUCUCUUCUAACUGACUGUCUUCAGCCUCUCUCUCACCGCCGCAAUGUUGCAUAUCUAGCUGUCUUCUACCGCUAUUUUCAUGCUAACUGCUCUUCUGAUCUUGCUAACUGCAUGCCUCCCCUCCUUCCGCGGCCUCGCUGCACAAGACUUUCUGCUUUCUCUCACCCCUAUUCUGUCCACCUUUCUAACGGAAGAGUUAACCAGUAUUCUCAAUCACUCAUCCCUUUCUCUGGUAAACUCUGGAACUCCCUGCCUGCUUCUGUAUUUCCACCUUCCUAUUGUAACGCUCCUUUUUAUUAUUUCUGUGUUUCUUUGAGUCUCCCCAAAUAAUUGUUUUCUUUGGUAGCUUGCGGUGAAGAGGAGGAUAAUAGCGGUAAUUAAAGGUUUAGUGAUUAUAUGAAAAAGUAUAUUUAUAAGGCGUGUAUUCGUGGGAGUGAUUUAGAAGUCUUGAAACAUUUGUUAUAAAUAGAGUUUACUUAUUUCAACUGUGGUUUUCUCUAAUCAGUGGUAAUACGAAAAAAUGGGAUUACAUCAUGUUGCGUCAGCCUACCAGUAACUCAUAAGGUGUCAUUCCCUAGCUUAUAAAAUAAGUUAGUAAUUUAGAAUUCAAUUAUUAACUUCAACUAAUGUCCAGCCUAUAUGCUCACCUUGCUAGCCAAUUAUUCCUGCAUUUUUAUUUAAACUCACGGUUCAGUAAAAUUAUUUGUGAAAGAAGAGAGAGAGAGAACUAGCUAAGGUUCCAAUAACUUCAGAGGCCUGGGGGUGUUGAGGGGGAGAGCACAGAAUGGCGUCUCCCUUCCCUCUGGCAACAGGUAGGUUUGAGUGCGCGUAUCAGGGUCUUAGCAAGCCUUGCUGCCUACAUUAGAGAGCGGCGCUACUCCCCAUGACUCACUUUGCUCCUGCUUGCCUGCCAUCUGCGACCGCCGACCCCGCCCUUCCCUGCUCAGCCCUACGUAGUGACGUAAGACACCCGAUGUUAUUUUGCUGUCUUGCGAAGGAAACGAUGAAGUUACAAUCCCGAAAAGAAACUUGUAUGUGUGACCGACUGACUUUCCUGUGGCUAUGGUCUGCGGGAUUGUCAAUGCGUGCUAUUGCACACCACACCGGCAGAAGUCCCCACACGGUGCGGCGAUGGCUGCGCUGGUGGUAUGAAGCUCCACUGGACCAAUGCAUCGGCUACCACUACAGUUUGCCUGACGCCGCGACCAGCACAAGCACGGAGCUGCCAAUCAGCGUGACACACAGCGACCUCUCCUCCUCCUUCACAUCACUGUCGCCAAGAUGGACUGGUGUUCGGGGGAGCACAUCGCCCCCGUCCUUGCACGACGCUGGCCUCGUUCAAUCUAGAUUGUUGCACCGCAGUACUUGUGAAGUUUUUGCGCCUUUUUGCACUCCACACUAGUAAAACGUUUUCAUAUCUUAAACAUUCACAUUCGACUUCAGCUUUCCGAAUACGUGUGCGUGUAUCUACCCCGGAGGCGAUGACGUCCCUUCCAAAGGCACAUGCACAGCAACAGUCCGAGGUCUAGACGUCUCACGUCUCAGUAAAGUCUGUGCGUGAAGGACGCUCGGAAGCUUUCUAUACACAAGUGCUCAGGUUUGCAAAUCACACAUACACACACACACACACACACACACACA